ACUUGGAUGCCUGCCUCUCACACUGCUCUACUUUAUGAAGUCAAGACCAUUAAUAAAAUCCAGUUUACAGAAAGGCCUAGAGAAGGUUAUUUCUCUGAACACUUCGCUGUACCUACUUCCAUAACAGAUGAACUUACCAGAUGUAACAGAAGCGGUUCUUCUGUUCUCGUGGAAGAUGAAGUUGUCCUUUGUUUUGAUGAGUCCUGAAGGACUUAAAGGAACAGGACCUAGAAAGAAGAGGGGCAGCUUUGUUGGAAUUUAUUGCUGGUUCUGCACAGGCCCUGGCCCGGGUCCCAGGGACAUCAGGGCCCAGAGACCUCACGUGGCUUGUCCUCACCUGGCUUGCCUAGGUUUGAGGUGUUGCUCAAGACAGAGCCUUUGCUGCUGCCCCUGAACACUGCCUGCCAGCACCCCAGCCCACCACCCUGACCUCAUCACCCCGGAAAGGAGCAAGCUCAUCAAAUAGGACAGUGCUUGGGGUCUUCGCCAGUAGCUAGCACUGGCUGCUGUUUAUGAGCAUCUGUUAUACACAAGGCAGUGGAGCAUUCUCACAUUUAAUCCUCAACACAGUGCUAUCAGAGAUGGGGGUCUUGUUAUGUCACCCAGGCUGGCCUUGAACGCUUGGUCUCAAGAGAUCCUCCUGCCUCAGCCUCCUGCGUAACUGGGACUACAGGAACAUACCACCAUACCCAGUUACUUUCAAGGAUCUGAAUUCAGAAUUCUCUGCAUCAACUAAGUGGUUCUGCUGGUUGUGUCUGGGAUCAUUCACACAGCUGCAUUCAAUCAGCAGAGAAGCUGGUGAUUGGGCUGAUGGCUCAUCCUCAAGAAGACUAGAUCAGCUUCCUCACAUAACGGCAGCCAGGUUCCAAGGCAAACCCCAGUGUGCAAGUACUUAGCAAGUCACUGCUUGUGUCAAGUUUACUGAUGUCCCCUUGGUCACAGUGCUAACACAGUAAAGUCCAUAAUUAAUGUGUCAAGAAAUUGAACCAGGAGGUUUGAUUUUCUGUGGACAGUGUAACAAUCUACAAUGUUGUAAUUAAUUAUUUGUAAAUUCAUGUAAAGGAGUUAUUGAGGCGGGCGUUGUGGCUCAUGCCUGUAAUCCCACCACUUUGGGAGGCUGAGAUGGGCAGGUGGAUCACUUGAGGUAAGGAGUUUGAGACCAGCCUGGCCAACAUGGUGAAACCUGUCUCUACUAAAAAUACAAAAAUUAGCUGGGCAUGGUGGUGCGCGCCUAUAAUCCCAGCAACUUGGGAGGCUGAGGCAGGAGAAUCACAUGAACACAGAAGGUGGAGGUUGCAGUGAGCCGAGAUCGUGCCACUGCACUACAGCCGGGGUGACAGAGCGAGACCUUGUCUCAAAAAAAAACACACACAAAAAAGGAGUUGCCGAAUCCAUAAUAGGUUUUCAUCAGAUAUUUUCUCAAUCAUCAGAAUUUUCAUUAAAACUUCAGAUACUCUUCUGAGAAUCCAUUAAAUUGUCUGACAUUGUAAAGAGAUCUCUGUAGUUAAAAAGGAUGGGAACCUCUAAAUAAAUGCACCAUCUGCUAGGAAUUUAAAAUAUUUGGUCUCAUUGAUGUUUGGGAUGAGAUUUGACAUAUUUGGCAAAUGUUGCUUUAAUGUUUAUUAUGUUUUCCACCAUACUUAGGAUCAUGAGUGUUAAAUAAAGAAUGUUUAAAAAGUUAAUUCAUUAUUGCUCCUUUGCUAAAAGAAUAAAAUGUGGAAUUUGUUAUUUCUCAUCCAAGGCGGACUAUGUCACCUGAAUGCAUCAAGCCCACCCCUGGCUCCUAUGGCUUUAAUGUGGCAGAAAUCAAGGAUAAAGCACCAAAAGUCAGGAACCCGUGGGGGCAGGCAGCUGGGAGUAGGGGGGCAGCCCUGGAGUAGUGAUUGUGGCAGUGCACAUGGACACAGCUGCAGCGGCUGUGGGGCUGCCAAGAAACUACUAAAGUUCCUGGUGAAGCAAUGUAGAAUUUGAUAAGAACAUAUAGAUGGAAGGAAAAAAACCUAUGGUGACUGUGAAGGCCCUGAUGCCAUGUAUGUCAAAUUGAUAUCAUCUAGUGGUCACAAAGUUAUUGUAAAAAGAGAAUAUGCAGUAACAUCAAUAACAAUAAAGGCUAUGUUGAGUGGCCCAGGUCAGCUUGCUGAAAAUGAAAUCAGUGAGGUCAGUUUUAGAGAAAUCUCUUCACAUGUGCUAUCAAAAGUAUGCAUGUAAGCUGCAUGCUGUGGCUCAAGCCUAUAAUCACAGCAGUCUGGGAGACCUAGGUGGGAGGAUUGCUUGAGCCCAGGAGUUCAAGACCAGCCUGGGAAACAGAGUGAGACCCCGUCUCUCCCAAAAAAAUUAAAAAUAAGCUGGGUGCAGUGGCAUACACCUGUAGUCCCAGCUACUUAGGAGGCUGAGGUGGAAGUAUCCCUUGAGCCCAGGAAUUCAAGGUUGCAGUGAGCUAUGAUCACACCACUGCACUCUAGAGUGGGUAACAGAGCAAGACCUUGUCUUUUAAAAAAUAUAUAUGCAUAUAUGUUACAUACAAUGGUCACUACACUAACAGCUCCACAGAGAUUCUCAAAUUCCCAGCUGCACCUCAAAUUGCACCAGAAUUGCUGAUGACUGUGAACUUCCUAGAUUGUUAAAUAAAUUAUAAUAAUUUUUUAAAGUACCAAAAGUUAACCUUUGAACAAUGCAACAAUCCGAAAAGCUGGCAACCGACAAAUAUAUAAUCUCUACUUUAAAAUGAUGUUUUUAAUUAUGAAGCCAAGAAUGUAAAAUGACGUAACAUAAAGUUUCUUUAUCCUCAUAUCUGCUUUCUGAAGUGACAAUGACUAUAAAGUGAGAAGGGCAUCAAUCGGUAACAGAACAGGCAAGGGAAAUAGAGUGUGAGUAAAUUGUUACAUUGACCAAGAAUCUAAUAAUCUUGCUCACAAGGGUGAAAUCAAAAGUAGGAACUUAAGUUUCCUGGUGAGUUGGAUACCAUUCCAUCUUCAUUGGUGAUAAUGAAUCAGUACUCUGGGCAAUCAAUGAUCUCACCAGGUGGGCAGACUCAGAAGGAGGAGCCUUAGUUCCUUUCUAAGGGAGCCUCCCUGCGAGGAUCUACACUACACAAGUGAUUAAAAAGCAAUUCAUUGGCUUGUGGCCAACUGCUGACACCAUCACUCCAGCAGACUCUGACAGCUGGAGAAUUGAGUUAGUUGUUGUUUAUCCCCAUCCUUAUUGGUGCCUCCCUGGGGUGUCUGUACCCCAACCCCACAGUUUUCUAGCUGGGCCUGAUGUUUCUCUUUAGACAUUUCUAGCAGACCAUUUUCUCAGUUUCUCCUAUGUGGCUUAGCAAUUCUCUCUAAUGUCCUUUUUGUUUCAUAGUUCUCUUCAUUAAUUUACUCAAAAUGCAUUGAAUGGCAGGUGUGUUCAAGGCCCCACGCUAGAGGAGUUAUACAGUGGAAAUGCAGUUGGUUAAGAGACAGAUAUCAUUAAAUAGUUCUCAAAAAAGUAGUGAGUGCUAAUCUAGGAGAACAGGUACCUGGACAGCGUUGGCCAACCCAGCUUUCUCCCUUGUCACUUACAGAAUGCAAUGUCCUGGGAUAAGGAGGAACUGUCCAGAACAACCCAAACUAUGCCCUUGUUCCUACUAGAACAGGGUGUUCUGCAGUCCUUGUGUUCUACAAUCCUUGUGUGAGCCCAGAAAUGCUCAGGGUAUAAAACCCAUAGCAGAGCGAUUGCAGAGUCUCUCAGCUGCAGAGUGACAUGGAACACAGGCAGACAAGAUUCCAUCUGCCCUGGAAAGUUGUAUUGAGCCUUGCUGGACCAAAUCCUUGGUUUCUUUUUUUUUUUCUUUUUCUUUCUUUUUUUCUUUUUUUUUUUUCUGUUUAUCUGUCAGUAACAAAUCUGCUUUGACUAACUUGUUGAUCAUGGAUUCUGUCUCACUGGACUAGGCCUGCAAACCUUUGCAGUAAUAAAUGUCCCAAGUGGUAGAAUGAAGGGUCAGAGGAAAGAACUAUUCCAUUAUGCUCUUCCUUCAGUGACCACUGUUUUCCAGCUUCCUUCAUAAGCUCCUUUUCCUUUCUGCCAGUACUCACUUUCCACCCUCUUUUCUACUUACUCACUAGGUAAUGCAUCUAUUCAUUUGGCUUUAACACCUAAUUCCCAACCCUGACCAUUCUCCUUAACUCCCACCCAUAUUUUCAACUAUCUGUUAGAUGUUACUACUGAAAGUUUAUAGGUCUUCUCUUAUGCAGUAUGUCUAAAACCAAAGUUAUUUUUCUGGAACUUACUGAUCCUCCUGUAUUCCCAGACUCCAACAAUGGCUACAAGCUAGAAACCUUAAGUAGUUUUGAUACAUCCUAUGCCUGGACUCCUAAACCUAAUGCUUUGCCAAGUGUGGGUGUUUUUACCUUGGUUUUAAACUUUUUUUAAAACCAAUACCAUGUUUUACCCCUUAAACUCUUCAUCUUAUCUGCUUACUGAAUCACCUGGUUGUUCUUUUUCAGAACCAUUACACCAACCUGUUAACUGUACUCCCAAUCUCCAUCUCUUUCUUCUCAAACUAUCCUCCACUGAUACUAGAUUGAUCACUUUAAUAUAUAAAGUGAUCAUGUCACUUCCCUGUUUCAGAAUCUUAUUAUUGCACAGAGUAAAGCCCAGAUUUUUUAGCAUGCCAGAGAAGGCUUUCACAAUCUGGUCUAAUUGGUGAUAUAUAAAUACCCCCUCCAACCCCCAACACACAUACAUACACACAUACAUGUUAACUCUUCCAAAAAUGUCCUAGCUUCUUAGGGAGAAAAACUUAAAGAUUUGAAAAUGAAGAAAAGUGAUCACUAGCGGUGUCUUCCAUGAAACGCUGGCUUUGUCUAGUAGGGCCUUCAGGGAUGAUCUGAUUCUAUAGGAUUGUAUACCUUUGAUUGCCUUUGAUUAACUAGGCUGUCUUACAGUUCUGUAGAAGUAGAGAUUAAACUGUAGAAAAUUGACAGUAAUAAAAAUAUCUCUUCCCAAAUGUCACUCUCUGUGCCUGAGCUAGGACAUCUAUCUUCUCCUGCCCCUGGGACAUAGGCGUGCCUGGUUCUCUGGCCUUCAAACUCAGACCAGGGCUUACACUAUUUGCUUCCAUGGUUCUUAGGCUUUUGGGCUCAGAAUAAAUUACACUGUCAGCUUUCCUGGUCUUCCAGUUUAUAGACAACAGAUCGUGGGACUUUUCAGGCCCAUACUCACCCCUUAAAUCUUCGGCUAAAGUCUUCUAUUUAUCAAACCCAACCAGAAGCCAGAGGACAAGAGACCCCCAGUAGUGUGCUACGUAAUGACACGCGGCCUGAUGCGCCAUGAGGGGAAAAGCCAGCUGGUAAAGACCACCCAUGGAGAUAAGCAGGGGAAAGCCAACAGAGCCUGGGCCCCUGAUGACAUCAUCUGGCUGCUGCUUCAUCGCAUCAUCCCAGAACCAUGUUCUACAGCCUUCUUGUCAGUGCAACAGAUGUCUACAUAUAUAAAUAUGUAACAUAUAUACAGAUGUUUACAUAUAUAUGUAAUAUGUAUGUUACACACAUGUGAGUGUGUGUGCGUAUUUCACCACAUCACAUGGUGAAAGCAGGAGCAAGUGAGAGAGAGUUGUGGGGGGAAGGUGCCACAUACUUUUAAAUGACCAGAUCUCAUAAGAACUCCCUAUUGCAAAGACAGCAUCAAGCCAUGAGGGAUCCACCCCUCAUAUAUAUAUAUAUAUUUAUAUAUAGGCCACCAGUGCCAUACUCACCUUCCAGGGACCUGGGAAUCGAUCUGCUCCACCUGAUGCAGCUAGCACCAGUGUCCACAUACAUUAUCCAUGGGCCUAGGGACUGGCUCACCCCAUUCACCACUGCCAGCACCUGUGGACACUGAAAACAGGGGCCUGAAAGCAAGCCUUUUCUGUCCAUUGCUGCCACCACUGGUGCCUGAGGAUCAGCCCACCUAAUAUUCCCAUUCCCAGAAAAGUUUCAUCAUAACCUUCACUAACGACUGCAGUGUAAGCCACUAAGGAACUCACAAAUUUCACUAAUGCUAAUUAUCACUAAAGAAAUCACAUGGAAAUUAUAUAACUGCACAUGCCCAGAAUCAAAGCCGAAGCACCCUGCCUGACCAACACUAUAGAUAAAUCUAUAAGUAAAAAAUCUUCCCUAUGAAAGCCAAUUUAUAAAAUUGGAAGAAGUGACUGUUACACCAGAUGCACAGAUAUCAGUGUAAAGACACAAGAAAUGUUAAAAAUUAAGAAAGCAUGACACAUCCAAAGGAACACAAUAAUUCUCCAGUAACAGAUCUCAAAAGAAAGUUAUGAAAUGCCUGAAAAACAACACAAAAUAAUAAUAUUGAAGAAACUCAGUGAGAUACAAGAGAACACAGAUAAAUAAUACAAAGAAAUCCAGAAAAUAAUUCAUGAUCUGAAUGAGAAAUUCAAAAAAGACAUAGAUAUUAUUGAAAAGAAACAAUCAUCAAUCCUAAAACAGAAGAAAUCAAUGAAUGAAAUAAAAAAAUACAAUUGAGAGCAUAAACAACAGACUAGAUCAAACAGAAGAAAGAAUUUUUGAACUCAAAGACAGUUGUUAUGAAGUAAUCUAGUCAGAACCCUCCCCCCCAAAAAAACAAGAAAGAAAGAAAGAAAGAAAAGCAGAAGAGGAAAUAAUAAAAAAGAAAAAAAAGGACUGAAAAGGCUGCAUGACAUAUGGGACACCAUAAAAUGACCAAAUAUUCAAAUUCUGUGAGUUCCAGGAGAAGAUAUAGGCAAAGACAUAGAAAACUUAUUUAAUAAAACAAUAGCUGAAAACUUACUGAUAUCAUUUGGAUGAUUGUCCCCUCCAAAUCUCAUGUUGAAAUGUAAUUCUGUGUCGGAGGUGGGGCCUGGGAGGUGUUUGCCUCAUGGCUUGGUGUUGUCUUUGUAAUAGUGAGUUCCCACAAGACCUAGUCAUUUAAAAUGUGUGGCACCUUCCCCCCAGCUCUCCCUCUCCUGCUUCUGCUUUCGCCUGUGACAUGCCUGCUCUCCCUUUGCAUUCAGCCAUGAUUGUAAACUUCCUGAGACCUCCCUAGAAGCCAAGAAGACUCCAGCACCAUGCUUCUUGUAAUUCCUGCAGAACUGUGAGCCAGUUAAAACUCUUCACUUUAUAUAUUACCCAGUCUCAGGUAUUUCUUUUUUAUUUUUAUUUUUUGAGACAGGGUCUCACUCUGUCACCCAGGCUGGAGUGCAGUGGCACAAUCUCAGCUUACUGCAACCUCCACCUCCUGGGUUCAAGCAAUUCUCGUGCCUCAGCCUCUCGAGUAGCUGGGACUACAGGAGUGCACCACCACACCAAGCUAAUUUUGGUAUUUUAUAAUUCAGUUGCCCGGCUGGUCUCGAACUCCUGAGCUCAGGCAAUCCACCUGCCAUAGUCUCUCAAAGCGCUGGGAUUACAGGUGGGAGCCACUGUUCCUGGCCUCAGGUAUUUCUUUACAGAAAUGCAAGGACAGCCUAACACAAUUAGUGAGUUCUCGUUCUGAGUUCACACAAGAUCUGAUUGUUUAAAAGAGUGUAGCAUCUCCCCCUCUCUCUCUUGCUCUUGUUUUUGUCAUGUGACAUGCUGGUUCCCUUUCCACCUUCAGCCAUGAUUGUAAGCUUCCUGAGGGCCUCAUCAGAAGUAAAUGCUGGCACUAUGCUUUCUGUACAGUCUGAAGAACUGUGAG
rnacentral:lncRNA from 1 species